UUACACUGAACAAACCUGUAGUGUCUGAGUUCCACCUCCAUCGAUCUUCUAUGUUCAAAUGUACUUUCAAGCCGAAUAAAAGUUGUUCUAAUUCUGCUUUCUCUACUAACUCAGCAUGCGAUAAUGACGAUAACCAAUCUCUAUUCCAAUUUAACUCAAAACUAUCUGCUUGAAUUAAUUCUGACACGACACUAUCUUUGUGCAAUACUUUCUCAAAUAAGCUAGGAAAUAGGUCUCUUAAAAGAACAGCUCCAUACCAUUUCUCUUUCCAAAAACCAAUUGAUUUACCAUUACCCAACACACU
rnacentral:lncRNA from 1 species